rnacentral:rRNA from 1 species
AUUGAACGCUGGCGGCAGGCCUAACACAUGCAAGUCGAGCGGAGCGGCGGACGGGGGAGUAAUGCCUAGGAAUCUGCCUGGUAGUGGGGGAUAACGUCCGGAAACGGGCGCUAAUAACGCAUACUAGCAGGGGAGGCUAGGUUGGAUUAGCUAGUUGGUGGGGUAAAGGCCUACCAAGGCGAAGAUCCGUAACUGGUUUGAGAGGAUGAUCAGUCACACUUGAACUGAGACACGGUCCAGACUCCUACGGGAGGCAGCAGUGGGGAAUAUUGGACAAUGGGCGAAAGCCUGAUCCAGCCAUGCCGCGUGGGUGAAGAAGGUCUUCGGAUUGUAAAGCACUUUAAGUUGGGAGGCGUUACCAACAGAAUAAGCACCGGCUAACUUCGUGCCAGCAGCCGCGGUAAUUC